rnacentral:lncRNA from 1 species
UGCCCAGCAGGCACCGUGGAGAUGGGGGCAGAUGUCUGGAAGCAGAGAAGGUGCCUAGUGGAAAGCAGGGGAUGAAGGCUAUUUUCCUCCUGGGCAGCCGCCGGCGGGACCAGGCAGGCUUUGCUCUCUCGCCCAGGGUGCGGUGUAGAGCCUCCACUGGACUCCACCACGGGGAGGAAGACCGAGGCUACCCAGCCUCCUGGCUGCUGGCCGUGGCUCUAGCCCACCCUUGCCUGUGUGUCAAGAGAGAAUCCAAAACAAUGUUC